GAUGAACGCUAGCGGCAGGCUUAACACAUGCAAGUCGAGGGGUAGAAAUAGCUUGCUAUUUUGAGACCGGCGCACGGGUGCGUAACGCGUAUGCAAUCUGCCUUGUACUGGGGAAUAGCCCGGAGAAAUCUGGAUUAAUGCCCCAUGGUAUUUUUGUGUGGCAUCACACGAUUAUUAAAGAUUUAUCGGUACAAGAUGAGCAUGCGUCCCAUUAGUUAGUUGGUGUGGUAAAGGCACACCAAGACGAUGAUGGGUAGGGGUCCUGAGAGGGAGAUCCUCCACACUGGUACUGAGACACGGACCAGACUCCUACGGGAGGCAGCAGUGAGGAAUAUUGGUCAAUGGGCGCAAGCCUGAACCAGCCAUGCCGCGUGCAGGAUGACGGCCCUAUGGGUUGUAAACUGCUUUUAUACGGGAAGAAACACCUCUUCGUGAAGAGGCUUGACGGUACCGUAAGAAUAAGGAUCGGCUAACUCCGUGCCAGCAGCCGCCGUAAGAC
rnacentral:rRNA from 1 species